GCCUCCGUAGCUCAGUGGUGGAGCGCAUGCUUGGUAAGCAUGAGGUCGCGAGUUCAACUCUCGCCGGAGGCU
rnacentral:tRNA from 1 species